rnacentral:rRNA from 1 species
CACCGCGGUUAUACGAGAGACCCAAGUUGACAAACACCGGCGUAAAGCGUGGUUAAGUUAAAAAUCAUACUAAAGCCAAACAUCUUCAAGACUGUUAUACGUAACCGAAGACAGGAAGUUCAACCACGAAAGUCGCUUUAUCUGAUCUGAAUCCACGAAAGCUAAGGAA